rnacentral:rRNA from 1 species
UACGAAGGGGGCUAGCGUUGCUCGGAAUCACUGGGCGUAAAGGGUGCGUAGGCGGAUCUUUAAGUCAGGGGUGAAAUCCUGGAGCUCAACUCCAGAACUGCCUUUGAUACUGAGGAUCUCGAGUUCGGGAGAGGUGAGUGGAACUGCGAGUGUAGAGGUGAAAUUCGUAGAUAUUCGCAAGAACACCAGUGGCGAAGGGCGGACU